GGGGGGGUGAGGCUGCGCUGGCUCCCCCCUUUGAAUCCUGCGUCGCUUCCAGUGAUGGCUUCUUAAGUCUGACAUGAAGGCAGCAGCAGAUGGGUAAGCCUGCACUUUAAUACACCAGCAGCACGGCACCAAAACAGUCAACAGAGGCUGGGAGAGAAUGAAAUGUUGAAAUAGUUCCGUUUGUUUGUUCAGUCGCGUGUUUGAGUGGACAGAGGCCCCUGUGAGUAAGUACAACAGGAUUAUUAAAUACUCUAUAAACAAUCUAUUUUCUCUCUGUUGGGCACAGUUGCCUCACAGUGUUUAACACGUUCCAUUCACGUUUUCAGAAAUAAACCUCCACUGCUCAUAUAAUAAAACGGUGUCGUCUGUUUGUUUACGUGUUGGUUUUUUAUGUACUCUAAACGUUGUGUACUGUAUUUCAACUCACCCUUAAUCAAAAGGAACGGGUCUCUCCUCUAGUUACACACAACAAAUAACCCCAUGCAGCGCAGUGGUAGCGACAACGUCAUGCAUGCGUCGUUGUGGGAUAUUUUCAACGUUAUUGUCUAUGCAAAGCACAGCAACAGGAUCAACGCCACGAAUGGCGCCCCGUCUCGUCGCCAGAUGUCGUCGUUGUUUACCCUCCAAAAUAAAAUUGCCAUCCAUUGUGAAAAUGACACGAAUCACGUUUCCGGAGAGCAGCCCACCGCUCAUUCACCCUCGGCCAAAGCUUUGCCACAGUGCGCGUGAUCUACAGCUACGUGUCAUGGGUGAAACGCGGGAGGCGGAUAGUAUUUAUAUGCUGCCUGUGGAUCCGCUCUCGACGUUACGGGAAGGUGAUCGUGUCCUUCCCACUCAACGCGCAGCUGUGUUUGUUCGUGGAAAAAAAGAGUUGCUGCGUGCGUUUUUGAAUAAACACUAUGAUGUUGCUGUCGUUGCUUUAAGCCAAACGGGUCCAGAUCGUGACUCCUUUGAAGUGUGGCCGUGUGCGCAUGUCGGGUGUGUGCAGCCUGGUGUCAUGUGGGCUUAUUGUUUACAUGCUGUUGAGAUUUCACGGAGGGCGUGUGCGCGUCUCUCCCGUGAAAAAAACAAAAACAAGAAAACACCGUCGCUGCGUGAACGAACACGCGCGUGGAAGGGUUUUCGUUCCCGCACAGAGAGCUCGAACUGGAGCGGUGACGGGGUGCGGCGAGCCGAGCGGACCCAUUUCAGAACCACGGCCAGCGCCACGGCGAGAACAAAAGGCGGAUUUGCGUGGCUUGAUGUCAGGGAGCGUGUGCGUCUCACUCGCCUACAUGAAAAACGAAAAAGAUGAACCGUGGCUCAGAGCCCCUCCAGUUUCAAUUACAGCUCGUCUCUGCUGUAGAUGAGACAAGCUCCUGUUACAUCUGAUUGUUUGCAAUUCUCUAUAUAGCACCAACCAGCCAACAUGUCUUUUACUAUGAUUUAAUAAAUGUGAGUGAGUGUUUUCUUAGAUGAGUAAAUUAAACCCCAGCAGCAGUUGAAUAGUAAAUUUACACAAAUCAGACGCUGAUGAAGAUGUUUGGCUUACUCAUAUCUUUAUUUUUCCUACUCUAAAGAUUAGAACACACAAUCUGGUGUGCUUAUAUUUUAUUAUUGGUUAAAUUUCUCAUUAGAGAAAAUAAUUGUCUUUUAUGUGUAGGCAAUUUCAUUUCCCUCUGCCCUUCGACUAGUCUGCGUUUGUCACAGCGGUAGUAGUUUAUUGACGGUCCCUGGCGGUAGACAUCACGGCUCGUACAGCCCAGAGGAGGGAUGGAGCUGAGAUGGACGGGGAGGGAGACACCGGCUUACGACGUCAAAGGAGUACAGACACACAUAUACACAGAGAAGGAGAGGAGAGGACAAGCAAGCAGACUGGCGGAUCUCUACAGCAGGAAGGCUAAACAUUCACCUGAUCCAACACUCUCCGUUUAACCAAGCCAGUGAGAGAUUUGAUUAUUUUUAUGUCAGAUUUAUUUUAGAAAAAAAAAAAAUAAACAAGGGAGUAUCUGUCAGUAAAGAGCGGGAGGGAGAACAACAAGCAGAUCUAGGUAAAACACGCUCAUGCAGAAUAAAGGACCGUCGCUGGAUGUGAGUUGUGUUGAUUUAGGGGGGGAACAGGCCUAACUUGUUACAGGAUUCAAAGGCGCUUCAGAGACACAUGAACUGAAUAAUUGAGAUUUAAUUACCGAACGCCAGCGAGCGGGGAGAAAAAGGCUUGCUCCGAUUCCGCCGAUUCUUCGCCACGACCAGCACCACAGACUUCUCAAUGAAGGAGCCUGACGCAAUCAAGCUCUUCAUCGGGCAGAUACCCCGAAAUCUGGAGGAGAAGGACCUCAAGCCCAUCUUUGAGCAGUUUGGCAAGAUCUAUGAGUUGACGGUGAUAAAGGACAAAUACACAGGGAUGCACAAAGGUUGCGCCUUCCUGACAUAUUGUGCGCGUGAGUCAGCCCUCAAAGCCCAGAAUGCACUGCACGAGCAGAAGACGCUACCAGGGAUGAACCGUCCCAUCCAAGUGAAGCCGGCCGACAGCGAGAGCAGAGGAGAAGACAGGAAGCUGUUUGUGGGCAUGCUGGGAAAGCAGCAGACAGACGCCGAUGUGAGGAAGAUGUUCGAGCCCUUCGGCAGCAUAGAGGAGUGCACCGUGCUCCGCGGGCCCGACGGCACCAGCAAAGGCUGCGCGUUUGUAAAGUUCCAAAGCAACGCAGAGGCUCAAGCCGCCAUCAGUGCUCUGCAUGGGAGUCGUACUUUACCUGGCGCCUCCUCCAGCCUCGUGGUGAAGUUCGCUGAUACGGAGAAGGAGCGAGGGCUCCGGCGGAUGCAGCAGGUGGCCUCUCAGCUGGGCGUCAUCAGUCCAAUGACCCUGCACCUCGGGGCGUACAAUGCCUACACACAGGCUCUGAUGCAGCAGCAGGCCCUGGUGGCGCAGUCGGCCUACCUCUCCCCUGUUGCCACGGUGGCAGCGGUUCAGAUGCAGCAGCUCGCCGCCCUCAAUCCCAGCAGCAUCAUUGCCACGCCGAUCGCAUCCAUCACCCCCUCCUCAGGUACCAGCAGUCCACCGUCCAUCGCAGCCACGCCCGUCCCCGCUCUGCCUCCACCGCUCGCAGUCAACAGCUACCCGUCCGUGGCCGCUCCGCCCAACGGCCAGUCGGCCACCGAGACCCUGUACACCAACGGGGUCCACACCUAUCAAGCUCAGAGCCCAGUCCUGGACCCCCUGCAGCAAGCUUACACAGGCAUGCAGCACUACACAGCCACCUACCCUGCUGCCUACGGCCUGGUGGGACAGCCGUUCCCCCACCAGCCCACGCUGGUGGCUCAGCAGCCGCAGCAGCCGCAGCAGCUGCAGCAACGGGAAGGUCCCGAGGGCUGUAACAUCUUCAUCUACCACCUGCCGCAGGAGUUCACCGACUCCGAGAUAUUGCAGAUGUUCCUUCCCUUCGGUAACGUGAUCUCCGCAAAGGUCUUCGUGGACCGCGCCACCAACCAGAGCAAAUGCUUCGGCUUUGUGAGCUUUGACAACCCGUCCAGCGCCCAGACUGCCAUCCAGGCCAUGAACGGCUUCCAGAUCGGCAUGAAGAGACUGAAAGUGCAGCUGAAGAGGCCCAAGGAUGCUAACAGGCCUUACUGAGGGAGUGAGGAGACUGUCCUGUCCAUACAUAUAUCGUGGAGACGUGCUUCGCUAUGGCUACGGUUGCCUAGCAACCGCUAAAACCUCCCCCCUUCCUUCUCUCUGCGUUGAAAACCUAAGAGUUCAAUCAAGAAAAACCACUUGGGAUGUCCCAGCCUUUUCUGGUUGUUUGACCAACCGUAUAGCACAGGAGCAACACUUCACACAAAGCAGUAUCACAUGUAUGCGCUUACAAAAAAACAACAAAAAAACAAAACAAAAAAGAAACGACAGCAGCAGCAGUAAUAUCAGCGACACACACAUCUACCGAAUCUGCAUCCGCGACAUCAUGAAGUGCUCCGGGUUUCCUACUGUAUCAUUCCACAGAUGGAUCCAUUAACAGUAUAUUAUGUACAUACUCUAUUGAUGGCAACAAGAUGUACAUGUUAAGAAAAAGCAUAUCACUGAUGUUAUUCUACUGAACAGGGUUCUACUGUAUAGUGUGACUUGUGGCGUGAAGAGAAGGCCAGUCUAAACAGUCGGAGGCAAAAGAAAAUAAUAUUCUGUAUGAUUAUCAUUGGUAACAUUGUUCUGUAGAAUUAGUUUUAUUAUUUAUGAUGCGUAAAUUAAAAAAAAACACGGGGCGAUGAAGCUGGAAGAGAAAUGGGUUUCCUGUCACUGUACAUACAUUGGUUGAAACGGGGUUAAAAGGACUUAAAGGCUUCACCAGUUAAGAUUCUCCGCUGCCACUACUUUUCAAAUUAACUAAGCGAAAGGAAGGGCUGGGAAUUUUUCUAUCUUGAUUUUUUACGUUUAAUUUAUUUGGUAAUAAAUUUGGUUAGGGGGAAGAUGUGAUUUUUUUUUUAUUUAUGAAAAAAAAAAAAGAUUCCUGCAGUCU